rnacentral:misc_RNA from 1 species
AACGCACCUUGCGCUCUCUGGUAUUCCGGAGAGCAUGCCUGUUUGAGUGUCAUGAACUCUUCAACCCACCGGUUCCUUGUUGGACCGAGCUGGUGUUUGGAUUCUGAUCGCUGCAAGCUCUGUCUUGCUCGGUCGUAAUACAUUAGCCCUCUCAAUUUCGAACUUCGGAUUGACUCAGCGUAAUAGACUAUUCGCUGAGGACACCCUCGGGUGGCCGACCAGUAGAUGACAGUAGAGGCUUCCAAUCCAUCUAGUCAAAUCUUUAGAUUAGACCUCAGAUCAGGCAGGAUUACCCGCUGAACUUAA